rnacentral:rRNA from 1 species
GACGAACGCUGGCGGCGUGCCUAAUACAUGCAAGUAGAACGCUGAAGGAGGAGCUUGCUUCUCUGGAUGAGUUGCGAACGGGUGAGUAACGCGUAGGUAACCUGCCUGGUAGCGGGGGAUAACUAUUGGAAACGAUAGCUAAUACCGCAUAAGAUUGACUAUUGCAUGAUAGUCAGUUAAAAGGUGCAAUUGCAUCACUACCAGAUGGACCUGCGUUGUAUUAGCUAGUUGGUGGGGUAACGGCUCACCAAGGCGACGAUAAAUAGCCGACCUGAGAGGGUGAUCGGCCACACUGGGACUGAGACACGGCCCAGACUCCUACGGGAGGCAGCAGUAGGGAAUCUUCGGCAAUGGACGGAAGUCUGACCGAGCAACGCCGCGUGAGUGAAGAAGGUUUUCGGAUCGUAAAGCUCUGUUGUAAGAGAAGAACGAGUGUGAGAGUGGAAAGUUCACACUGUGACGGUAUCUUACCAGAAAGGGACGGCUAACUACGUG